GCUUAUGAUGAGGGAAAUAUUACAAAUAGCCCUUAUAUCUAUCCCAUGCCUGAGGCACUGAGUCAACAUCUUUUUAUAUAAAUCUAGAUAUCUUUCCUCUCAAAAC
rfam:Capsicum annuum cultivar Zunla-1 chromosome 4, whole genome shotgun sequence